UACGUAGGGGGCAAGCGUUGUCCGGAUUUCUUGGGCGUAAAGAGCGUGUCGGCGGCUUGGCAAGUCUGCUGUGAAAACUCGAGGCUCAACCUCGAGCUGUCGGCGGAAACUGCUUGGCUAGAGUCCGGAAGAGGAGAGUGGAAUUCCUGGUGUAGCGGUGAAAUGCGCAGAUAUCAGGAAGAACACCUAUGGCGAAGGCAGCUCUCUGGGACGGUACUGACGCUGAGACGCGAAAGCGUGGGGAGCGAACAGG
rnacentral:rRNA from 1 species